GCACUCGGCGGCUUAAAGCCUGCGGGCCGGAGCUCGGCUGACCCACCGAGAGCCGACUUGGCUACGCAGAAUGGAAGAACCUUAGAGGGCAUGUGGUGUAUUGUCUGCACGGCUUGUUUCCGGAAAAGAGUUGUUGUCUCCCCAGUCUCGGCCUGGGGAAGGCGCUGGCUAGCGGGAGGUUAAAGAAGUUAGUUCUCCAGGUAGUCGCUCUCUACUGUAUUUCACAGAGCUGGACGGGAAUGACUUAGCUGACCAAUCUCACGUAGAACUCCAGCAUCAAGCAGGAAUCCCAGAAAAACCAUCUGAACCCCUGCACAUCCAGACGUCACCUACUAGAUGGCACAACUACAGUGGCACACCUCCCUAGAUGUCACUUAAUGCGAUCUGAAGAACCUGAUACACAGACUCCAAGGACAGAACUUUCUUAAUGCUUGCUUGCCGUUCCUGCUUCUGAUUUGCCUGUCACGUGUUGGCGGUUCCAGCUGGCUAUCUACAGAAAAGCAGAAUUCCAGCGGCUGACCUCCCUCAUGCAGCGUCUCAUCCCCUGCCAAUUCUUCCCCUAGCCAUCUACUUUGGACUGAGAUUUGUAUCGGACUUUCUGGCAUACCCUAUAGACAUUUUACACAAUUUUAAAGCAGCUUAUUUCCUUUCACGCUGCUGGUUUUUCAUAGACUGAUCCUGAGUAGUUCAUAGACUUUACAGACUGUUGCCUUGAGGACUAUACAA